rnacentral:tRNA from 1 species
GCCUGGCUAGCUCAGUUGGUAGAGCAUAAGACUCUUAAUCUCCAGGGUUGAGGGUUCAAGCCCCACGUUGGGCG